CAACAAGUAGUUUAAUAAAAUUUGGAUUUUGGAGAUCUAAGAUAGGAAAAAUUUAUUUCCUUUUGUUGA
rnacentral:tRNA from 1 species